GUGUUCUGUAAAGAUAAAAAAAACAUAAUCCUAUAUUAACAGGCCAGCCCACCUUGGAAAAAUAUUUUAAAUACAAUAGUGUAACAACUAAAGGGACAGAUGACCCCAAAAUAAACAUUAUUUACCAAUUUACCAUUAUGUCAAUCUUCAAUAUUGUGAGUAAAACCUUACAUUCUGUUCAUCUUUCAAUCUGUUUAUAUUACUAGGUAUUAUAGAAAUACCUUUCUUUGUGUUCCACAGAGUAACAUAAGUGUAUGGAAUUGAAACGACAUAAGGUUGAGUGUGAAUCAUCCACUAUCUGAAAAAGAAGUGUAUGGAGUGUUGAGGUUGAUGAUGACAAGGUGAUGACACAAAGGAGCUUCCAUUGCCUUUAUUGCAACUAGGACUGACAAUAAUGUCUGCAAACCCUUCUCCAAAUAUUAAGUCUUAUUCUAUUACAACAUUGCCACCUGCCAGCAACCAAAUAUCUGUUUAAAAAUAUGUUGUCAAUUUUUGUAAAUAGAUCAUUUUGUCAAAAUAAAGAUUAAAAAAAUCUGCCACCACAUUUGUGUGUAUAUUGCCUUUAUGCAGAUUUCAAAUGUAUUUAUAUAAUUUAUCAUUGGAACCAAAGUACACAUUAUCACACUUGUUGAUGCACAGUAAAGCCAAAAGUUGAUGUUUACGCAAACAUUAGCCUACUUGUGGUUUGGUAACAUGUGAUCCACAUGUUGAAACUAUUGCAUUAUAUAAGACAUUUCUCACAUGUGCUUUAUGUUAUAACAUGUUCCACAUGUGCGCUAUUAUGUUGCAGCAUGUGGUGAGAUGUUGUUCACACGUGGUAAUAUUGUCCACAUGUGAGCACAUAUUUUCCACAUGUGAGCAUAAAUUGUCCACAUGUGAGCACAUAUUGUCCACAUGUGAGCACAUAUUGUACACAUGUGAGCACAUAUUUUCCACAUGUGAGCAUAAAUUGUCCACGUGUGAGCACAUGUUGUCCACAUGUGAUAACAUGUGAUAACAUGUGGUCACAUGUGACCACAUGUGAACAACAUGUGAAAAACAUGUGAAAUGCAUGUGCUUUUUCUGU